UAAGAACCUGCCCCAGAAGUUACUUGUGAUUUCUGAUUCACAUCUUUUUCAAGUCUCAGGGAGGGGAAGUAAUUCGGCAUCUAAAGCAAAUUUUUCUAUUGUUGAUAAAGUUUCCAGGAGGAAUAAAACCUCUUCCUCGCCUGGCUCUGCCGGUGUUCUUUUAAGAGGCAGGUUCAAUUUCACUUCAUAAAACAAUUCUCAAUAGUUAAUGCAAAAUUCAAUAUCUACUGAAUGGAAGAUGUAAGAAAUCAUGUAAACAGAUACUAUCACACAAAGGGAAUAGGAAUAAUAAGGAAUUGGAGGAAUAAUGAUCUUCAGCUGGCAGUUUCAUCAUCAAGAACAGUUGCAUACUUGAAUCUACCUGACAUAAGAAGCGAUUGAAUAUGACAUUGUUGACAAGGAUCAAGGAUUUAAAGAGGGUAUAUGUAUUCAACCUAGGCAUCAAAAAAGUCGGAAUCAAGAGAUAGUUUAAUGGAUUGUACCAUGUGCUGACAGUUGUGCAGAAAAACUUGAGAGAUUUUCAUAAUUUUGAAGACUGUAUUCUUGGCAUAAUGGCAUCUACAAAAUAAUUCCAAGCCUUAGAGGAAAAUUACAUCACAGGCAUCAUGCAGGAAUAGAUUUAUAUCCUAUUCCACUCAAAUAAGCAAAUAAUUGCACGUAUCCUAUACAACUGAAUAUGGAUAGAAUUGAGGGAUGUCGUACCUAGUUGACUUGGAGAGGAAAUAAUUGAAAUGAUGGAGAAAGCUCUCACAAUCAGAAAUGGGUGAUUUGAAACAAUGUGCUUCAGCUUCAUAGGUAUCAAUGGCAGAUAACGCAAACAAACUGAAGACAAGGUAUCUUGAGGAGUGUUUUUAUUGAUUAUGUUCAAUG